UACGUAGGGACCAAGCGUUGUUCGGAUUUACUGGGCGUAAAGGGCGCGUAGGCGGCAAUUCAAGUCAGCUGUGAAAUCUCCGGGCUUAACUCGGAACGGUCAGCUGAUACUGCUUUUGCUAGAGUGCAGAAGGGGCAAUCGGAAUUCUUGGUGUUAGCGGUGAAAAUGCGUAGAUAUCAAGAGGAACACCUGAGGUGAAGACGGGUUUUGCUGGGGCUGACACUGACGCUGAGGCGCGAAAGCAUGGGGAGCGAACAGG
rnacentral:rRNA from 1 species